rnacentral:rRNA from 1 species
UACGGAGGAUGCGAGCGUUAUCCGGAUUUAUUGGGUUUAAAGGGUGCGUAGGCGGGCUUUUAAGUCAGCGGUAAAAAUUCGGGGCUCAACCCCGUCCGGCCGUUGAAACUGGGGGCCUUGAGUGGGCGAGAAGAAGGCGGAAUGCGUGGUGUAGCGGUGAAAUGCAUAGAUAUCACGCAGAACCCCGAUUGCGAAGGCAGCCUUCCGGCGCCCUACUGACGGUGAGGCACGAAAGUGCGGGGAUCGAACAGG